rnacentral:rRNA from 1 species
GAUGAACGCUGGCGGCGUGCCUAAUACAUGCAAGUCGAGCGAACGGACGAGAAGCUUGCUUCUCUGAUGUUAGCGGCGGACGGGUGAGUAACACGUGGAUAACCUACCUAUAAGACUGGGAUAACUUCGGGAAACCGUAGCUAAUGCCGGAUAAUAUUUUGAACCGCAUGGUUCAAAAGUGAAAGACGGUCUUGCUGUCACUUAUAGAUGGAUCCGCGCUGCAUUAGCUAGUUGGUAAGGUAACGGCUUACCAAGGCAACGAUGCAUAACCGACCUGAGAGGGUGAUCGGCCACACUGGAACUGAGACACGGUCCAGACUCCUACGGGAGGCAGCAGUAGGGAAUCUUCCGCAAUGGGCGAAAGCCUGACGGAGCAACGCCGCGUGAGUGAUGAAGGUCUUCGGAUCGUAAAACUCUGUUAUUAGGGAAGAACAUAUGUGUAAGUAACUGUGCACAUCUUGACGGUACCUAAUCAGAAAGCCACGGCUAACUACGUG